GGAAAUUGAUAUAUAUUAUUUUAACCUAUGAAUUAAAGUAUGUAACUAAUUAAAUAUAGUAAAAAAGUAUGAUAAAGGUAUAAAACUUAUCGGAAUUAUACAUUAUUUUGAAUCGGCUACUCAAUCUUUCAAAAUUUUAAUUUUACUAUCUAACUUUUUAAUAUAUUUGAUUUGAGUCAGUCAUCGAUAUUUUGACUUCAAAAUUUAAGAUAAUUAUUUUAAUGAAUUUGCUAUUCCAAGAAUUGCAUGUAAUGUAUUAACUAACUUGUAAAAGUAAAUGUCGCAUUCAAAUUUUGCAGUUAAAGUGCUUAAAAUCAAAAUUUUAAAAGAUUGAUUAGCCAACUCAAAUUGGUCCAUGAUUCAGAUAAGUUCUAUAUUUUUUUAACUAAAAAAUAUUUUAAGCUCAAAACUUAAAAAAGCUAUUUUAUAAAAAAAAUUACCA
rnacentral:lncRNA from 1 species